rnacentral:pre_miRNA from 1 species
AGGGGAAUAGCUGGGUCAAAUGGUGAUUCCAUUCCCAGCUUUCCAAGAAAUCUCCAUAAUGCUUUCCAAAUUGGCUGCACCAAUUUGCAGUCCAACCAGCAAU